rnacentral:rRNA from 1 species
UACGUAGGCAGCAAGCGUUGUUCGGAGUUACUGGGCGUAAAGGGUGUGUAGGCGGUUGCUUAAGUUUGGUGUGAAAUCUCCCGCUCAACUGGGAGGGUGCGCCGAAUACUGAGUGACUCGAGUGCGGGAGAGGAAAGUGGAAUUCCUGGUGUAGCGGUGAAAUGCGUAGAUAUCAGGAGGAACACCGUGGUGUAGACGGCUUUCUGGACCGUAACUGACGCUGGAAACACGAAAGCGUGGGUAGCAAA